CGGACGGCUACAGAGAUACAGAAAAGUUACUCAACACUCAGGCAGCCAUCGCAGACUUAAUCAAGUCUUGGAUUGCAGGCACUGACGGGAAGAAGCGAUGAUCUUUGCUGCCACCUUGUGACCAAACAUAGUAACGUUCAACCUCCACUGCACAAAACAAGGGGCAAAUGGAGACAAAGGACGGAAGAAAGAGGAUUCCACCAGAAGAAAUUGACGCUUUGGGUCAAGGUCUGCAGAAGCUGAACGUUUCAGAGACCCAAGAAGAACAAAUACUGCAGAGCUCAGGAGGAAAUGCCAGUG